rnacentral:rRNA from 1 species
CGGCGGCCCGAGUGGUAGCCGUUUUUAUUGGGUCUAAAGGGUCCGUAGCCGGCCUGAUAAGUCCUUUGGGAAAUCUGACAGCUUAACUGUCAGGCUUCUAAGGGAUACUGUCAGGCUUGGGACCGGAAGAGGUAAGGGGUACUCCAGGGGUAGGAGUGAAAUCUUGUAAUCCCUGGGGGAUCAUCUGUGGCGAAGGCGCCUUACCAGAACGGGUCCGACGGUGAGGGACGAAAGCUAGGGGAGCAAACCGGAUUAGAUACCCGAGUAGUCC